AUUCAGGCUAUGAUGGAGAGUAGUAGGGAUUUUUUGCCAUUAAAGAGAGCCGGUGUGCUGGAAAUCCGGUAUGGCUGACUUGCCGAACAGGCUUCUGAGCUCCGGUCGAAAAAAGAAGGUGAAAUCUUUCGAGUAGGCUUGGCGGUGUUCUCCCGAUAUAGAGAAGCUGUGCAAAAUGCAUAGACUCAAGGGGGCUUUUAUCAGCCAAAUUAGGUGGUACCGCGGAAGAUUAACCUUUCGUCCUAAAU
rnacentral:ncRNA from 1 species